UAUCGUACAACUGAGGUGCAAAGGCUGUCGCUGACCCCCCAAAGGGGUCGUGCACGCUCGAGCAUUCUCACACAAUCCAUCUCACCUUUGUGCAUCACCGCGUGGGUCCCCCUUUGCAGGGAGGGCUUGCGUUUAUCACACAAUACUCAAUACAGUGUAGAAUGUUUCUUUUGCGAUCACACGCAAUCAAUACAACUUUCAACAACGGAUCUCUUGGCUCUCGCAUCGAUGAAGAACGCAGCGAAAUGCGAUACGUAAUGUGAAUUGCAGAAUUCAGUGAAUCAUCGAAUCUUUGAACGCACCUUGCGCCCCUUGGCAUUCCGAGGGGCACACCCGUUUGAGUGUCGUGAAAUCUUCAAAACCCUUUUUCUUUAAAGGGUCUUUGGACUUGGAGGUUCAAUGCUUGCCUUGAAAGCGAGCUCCUCUCAAAUGAAUUAGUGGGGUCCGCUUUGCUGAUCCUUGACGUGAUAAGAUGUUUCUACGUUUUGGGUUUAGCACUGUCCCUUGGAUGCCUGCUCCUAACUGUCUCAUGGACAAUGAUGGUGCUCUGGUCACCGGCCGUCUACAUCGGCGGGGGGCUGGACCCACAAAAAGAAAACCUUG
rnacentral:misc_RNA from 1 species